GACAGAGGGUGCAAACGUUGUUCGGAAUUACUGGGCGUAAAGCGCGUGUAGGCGGCUAAGUAAGUCGGGCGUGAAAUCCCACGGCUCAACCGUGGAAGUGCACUCGAAACUGCAUAGCUAGAGUCCUGGAGAGGAAGGUGGAAUGCUUGGUGUAGAGGUGAAAUUCGUAGAUAUCAAGCGGACACCGGUGGUGUAGACGGCUUUCUGGACCGUAACUGACGCUGAGACACGAAAGCGUGGGUAGCGAAACAG
rnacentral:rRNA from 1 species